GGUUUUAGAAGAAGACCACUGUUGACACACAAAUGAUCCUCCAAAGAACAGAUGUAAUUAGUGAAUGAUUAACCAGAGGGUCACUGUGGAUGGGGAUCAAGUGAAAAGAUGAGGAAACUGAGGCUGAGAGCUCUAGGCAUCAUCUUUCUAGAAGAAGAACAACCAGGGUAAGAAGUGAUAUGCAAGGAUUAUCUGAAGUUGCUGAAGAUGUUUAGCCUGAAAGAGAAGAUUCAGUAAGAAUAUAAUAACUGCCUUCCACCUGAAAGGAUGCCGUGGAAGAAAAGAGAAGAGAAGAGAAGAGUCCAGGCAGUCAGCAAGGUGCUUGGCAGAGUGUUCAGGGGUUAUAUGUGGAAAAACAUUAAGAAGGACUGAAGAUAGUGUUGUAUUGUAUAGAGGAAGUUGGUCUGAAACAUCCAAUUGACAGGUGCCAUUUCUGCAGACGUUCUGCCAUGUCCCUGGACUUUACAAUAUCUCAGUAAGGAGUCAGCACUGACCCAAAGAAGGC